CUGCAGGCUGGGACAAGCGUUACUGUGAAGCGGGCUUCAGCUCCGUGGUCACUCAGGCAAGUAGGGAGCAAAAGCGCAGUGGGGGCGGCUCCCAAACAGGGCCCCCUCUCACCCUCAGGACUUCCCUUCCAGGCCGGAGAGCUGGUGCUUGGGGCUCCUGGCGGCUAUUAUUUCUUAGGUCUCCUGGCCCAGGCUCCAAUUGCGGAUAUUUUCUCGAGUUACCGCCCAGGCAUCCUUUUGUGGCACGUGUCCUCCCAGAGCCUCUCCUUUGACUCCAGCAACCCAGAGUACUUCGACGGCUACUGGGGAUACUCGGUGGCCGUGGGCGAGUUCGACGGGGAUCUCAACACUACAGAGUAUGUCGUCGGUGCCCCCACUUGGAGCUGGACCCUGGGAGCGGUGGAAAUUUUGGACUCCUACUACCAGAGGCUGCAUCGGCUGCGCGGAGAGCAGAUGGCGUCG
rnacentral:sRNA from 1 species